rnacentral:rRNA from 1 species
UGCGUAGGUGGUAUGGCAAGUCAGAAGUGAAAACCCAGGGCUUAACUCUGGGACUGCUUUUGAAACUGUCAGACUGGAGUGCAGGAGAGGUAAGCGGAAUUCCUAGUGUAGCGGUGAAAUGCGUAGAUAUUAGGAGGAACACCAGUGGCGAAGGCGGCUUACUGGACGGUAACUGACGUUGAGGCUCGAAAGCGUGGGGAGCAAACA